rnacentral:rRNA from 1 species
GACGAACGCUGGCGGCGUGCUUAACACAUGCAAGUCGAACGGAAAGGCCUCUUUCGGGGGGUACUCGAGUGGCGAACGGGUGAGUAACACGUGAGUAACCUGCCCUUGACUUUGGGAUAACUUCAGGAAACUGGGGCUAAUACCGGAUAGGAGCUCCUGCUGCAUGGUGGGGGUUGGAGAGUUUCGGCGGUUGGGGAUGGACUCGCGGCUUAUCAGCUUGUUGGUGGGGUAGUGGCUUACCAAGGCUUUGACGGGUAGCCGGCCUGAGAGGGUGACCGGCCACAUUGGGACUGAGAUACGGCCCAGACUCCUACGGGAGGCAGCAGUGGGGAAUAUUGCACAAUGGGUGGAAGCCUGAUGCAGCAACGCCGUGUGCGGGAUGACGGCCUUCGGGUUGUAAACCGCUUUCGCUCAUGACGAAGCUUUGUGUGACGGUAGUGGGUAAAGAAGCACCGGCUAACUACGU